CUACAGUGAGAUAUUCACCACUUACGCAGCAAUAUCUUUCACUAGCAAUCAGCUGCUUGCAGUGUGUCCUAGACAGAUUUGCCAGAAAAUAACCUUUCCUGAGUGUGUUUAUCACACUCUGUGUGACACCGGUGCAAUAUAAUGAAGUGCAACUCAGCUAUGCCAUCCACAGAGGAUAAUCCACUGGCUCUUCAAAAUGGAACCGCACUAUUUCCGUAAGGCUUGGAUACAGCGUGGCUUCCUGCCUUUUGUUUCUGCCCUCCUGUUGGCUGGAAUCCUGCUGCUUUGUGCCACAGACCUCGUAUUGUUUGCCAGCUCAGAGUCAAAUUUUGGAAGCAAGAAGAAUGUUGCGUCUGAGAAGUACCUCCAUUCCAUCACGGAUCUUCUUGCUACGAGUCUCUCUACAGUGGGCCGCCAAGAAGUCCGUGGAGUCCCAGGCUGCCUCCCAUCCCUCAGUCAUUCCC